ensembl:misc_RNA 7SK 7SK RNA
GGAUAUGAGAUCUGGCUGUGACGCCUGUCACCCCCAUUGAUCUCCAGGGUUGAUUCAGCUGAUCCGGUUGGCUAUGCGGGUGUCCCCUUCCUCCCUCACCGCUCCAUGUGCAUCCCUCCCGAAGCUGCGCGCUCGGUGGAAGAGGACGACCUUCCCGGAAUAGAGGAGGACCGGUCUUCGGUCAAGGGUAUACGAAUAGCUGCGCUCCCCUACCAGAAUCUCCAAACAAGCUCUCCCUUGCCAACUGGACUGAUUUUAGACUUUCCUGGGAAGCAAGCCUGUGGGCCUGUCUGUGAAGGCAUUUCCAG